UACAGAGGUCUCGAGCGUUAGGCGGAAUCACUGGGCUUAAAGCGUGUGUAGGCGGAUCGGUAAGUACCUUGUGAAAUCCCACAGCUUAACUGUGGAACUGCUUGGUAUACUGCCAGUCUUGAGCCAGCUAGGGGCUACCGGAACAAAUGGUGGAGCGGUGAAAUGCGUAGAUAUCAUUUGGAACGCCAAUGGUGAAAACAGGUAGCUGGGGCUGUGCUGACGCUGAGACACGAAAGCCAGGGGAGCAAACGGG
rnacentral:rRNA from 2 species